rnacentral:rRNA from 1 species
GACGAACGCUGGCGGCGUGCCUAACACAUGCAAGUUGAGCGACGAACCAGGGCUUGCCCUGGGGCAAAGCAGCGAACGGGUGAGUAACACGUGGGUAACCUACCCCGAUAACCGGGACAACCCGAGGAAACUCGGGCUAAUACCGGAUGUGCUCACUGGACUUCGGUUCAGUGCGUAAAGGAAGCUUCGGCCUCCGUAUCGGGAGGGGCCCGCGGCCCAUUAGUUAGUUGGUGAGGUAACGGCUCACCAAGACCGCGAUGGGUAGCUGGUCUGAGAGGACGAUCAGCCACACUGGGACUGAGACACGGCCCAGACUCCUACGGGAGGCAGCAGUGGGGAAUCUUGCGCAAUGCGCGAAAGCGUGACGCAGCAACGCCGCGUGGGGGAAGAAGGCCUUCGGGUUGUAAACCCCUUUCAGGAGGGACGAAGGUUCGGCGGUGAAUAGCCGUCCGGACUGACGGUACCUGCACAAGAAGCCCCGGCUAACUACGUGCCAGCAGCCGCCGCGG